rnacentral:rRNA from 1 species
UGCGGAGGGUGCGAGCGUUGUCCGGAAUCACUGGGCGUAAAGGGCGCGUAGGCGGCCUGAUAAGUAGGGGGUGAAAUCCUGCGGCUUAACCGCAGGGCUGCCUUCUAAACUGUCAGGCUAGAGCACAGUAGAGGCAGGUGGAAUUCCCGGUGUAGCGGUGGAAUGCGUAGAGAUCGGGAAGAACAUCAGUGGCGAAGGCGGCCUGCUGGGCUGUUGCUGACGCUGAGGCGCGACAGCGUGGGGAGCAAACAGG